UUGUUUCAUAGGAACUCAUGCGCUGCGGAAUCCACGAAUUUGUGACCGACAACGAAACCGCAAUCAGUGCCAGUAUCCAACAGCCUGCUACUGCGACCACCGUCUACAUUUUGGAAGGAGGUU